rnacentral:rRNA from 1 species
GAUGAACGCUGGCGGCAUGCCUAAUACAUGCAAGUCGAACGGGAGGAAAAGAAGCUUGCUUCUUUGAAUCUAGUGGCGAACGGGUGAGUAACACGUAGGUAACCUGCCCAUGUGCCCGGGAUAACUUCUGGAAACGGAUGCUAAAACCGGAUAGGUAGCAGACAAGCAUUUGACUGCUAUUAAAGUGGCCUUGGCCAUGAACAUGGAUGGACCUGCGGUGCAUUAGCUAGUUGGUGGGGUAACGGCCCACCAAGGCGACGAUGCAUAGCCGGCCUGAGAGGGCGGACGGCCACAUUGGGACUGAGACACGGCCCAAACUCCUACGGGAGGCAGCAGUAGGGAAUUUUCGUCAAUGGGGGGAACCCUGAACGAGCAAUGCCGCGUGAGUGAGGAAGGUCUUCGGAUCGUAAAGCUCUGUUGUAAGAGAAAAACGGCACUCAUAGGGAAUGAUGAGUGAGUGAUGGUAUCUUACCAGAAAGUCACGGCUAACUACGUGCCAGCCGCCGCCGUAA